UCCAAUGAUUAUUUUGAUAACUUAUUUGCUACCCUGUCUUCAUAUUCUCGUAAACAAAGAAGAUUAACAAUCUGUCAGUCAGAUGUAGAGCUCUAUUUUAAAAAUGUUGGAUUCACCAAUGAACACACAUCACUCAACUCCUUAAUUCGAGAACACUUGUCGCUGGUGGAUCAACAAAAGCUAAUACCUGUUGCUCGAGCUGUCAUACCAAGCAAGAACUCUAAACGCAAAAGUAAAACAAGAGAUUCAACCAACAUUUCUGCUUCUACUUCUAAAUGAAAAUCCUGGAACAAGUUACUGGUGCAUAUUUCAAGUAAAAGUUUUUACCAAGCCAUCAGUUGCUUGUGAUAAUGUACAAAAUCUGUGUCAUUUAGUACACUCUGUUAGAAAUCACUAAUUGUGAUUUUUACUCAUUUCACCUUCUCCAUUCUUUUCCUUGGAAAUAUUGGGAUUAAAAAUAUUCAGCUUUAGAUACAAAUAUCAGAAAAGUAUGAUAUCACUACCAGUCCAGACUUUGUGAUCAGAUUUGUUUUGCAAUCUUUUUAUAUCCAAAUAGCUGUAUUAAGGUAUUUUUGACACAAAAUUCAUCUGACGAAGGAAUUGUCUGGUAAAAAUGGCAUAAUCUUUCAUAAAGCAAAUUUGUUGGCAAAGAUAUUUUAAAAAACUUCAUGAAGGAUAUUUCUGGAAAGUGAAAUCAUAUUCAGAAAAUGUUUGCUGUUUAGUAAUACAGAAUUUUUUUUUUUUGUGAAAAAAAUGCAAUCAUCUCUUCUCAGUGUUGUUUCUAUCUUUCUAGGAAAAGGAUACUAGGCUUCAUUCAAUUCAUUGCAAAGUUAAACUUAACCAAUGCCACUGUUUUCAUCAUAUAACACUGUUGUUAGCAAACUGCAGCUGUUUUAAUAUAAAGUUUGUUUGUCAUUUAUAAAAUAAUGAUAAAGACAAUACACUUUCUUUGGAAGUAUGUAUAAAUGAAAUGUUAUAAGAGAGCAAUGUAACUGGGAGGAGAUGGUGAUGUGGAAAGUGCAGUAGGAAUGAAUACCAUAAAGUUAAUUAAAAGUAAUUUUGUGGGGAAAAUUUUCAAUAAAUAAUGCACUACUUGGUUUGCCUAUGUAAUAUAUGAAACGUGUGUAAUAGUGUGUAUAGAUAUAUGGGAAUGUAAAUGUUUCACUUUGAUUAUAUAAUAAACAGGGCUCUAUCUCCUCAGGCGUCUUCUAGUAAGUGACAAUAUGGCCAAGUCAUCAUUAACCAUAGUUAUCUGAAACACAGUAGGAGUCAAAUGAUAACAGUAUCAGUUCUCCAGAUAAAGAGUUAUUUUUAUAUCUCAUGCUGUGCAUUGGGCAAGAUGAUGCACUUCUGUUCUGUUUACUUUGUGACAGCAAAACAGAUAACAAAUCAAGUGAUCAGGAAAUGGAGAACAGCAGAAGUAAAUGUUAACUCGUUAACAUAGGCCAAAUGAUUGGAUGAUCUUUGAGGAACUAUUAUAUAUGUAAACAAAUUUCAUUAUUCUCCCUUGUAAUGACUGUUAUGUAUGAAAAGUUACCAUUGUUAUAUCUUAUUUUCUUAUAUGUAUCUAUGAUGUGUUUAAUACGCCUUCUUUCUAGCAAAAUAUAAAAUAAAAUGUUUUAUUAUAGCACAUGCACUAUUUUUUAUUAAAAACAACUACUUUUUUGUAAUA
rnacentral:lncRNA from 1 species